UACGGAGGGGGUUAGCGUUGUUCGGAAUGACUGGGCGUAAAGCGCGCGUAGGCGGAUCAGGAAGUUGGGGGUGAAAUCCCGGGGCUCAACCCCGGAAUGGCCUUCAAAACUCCUGGUCUUGAGUUCGAGAGAGGUGAGUGGAAUUCCGAGUGUGGAGGUGAAAUUCGUAGAUAUUCGGAGGAACACCAGUGGCGAAGGCGGCUCACUGGCUCGACACUGACGCUGAGGUGCGAAAGCGUGGGGAGCAAACAGG
rnacentral:rRNA from 1 species